UUCAAAGCAAUUUCUACAAGUUUAAAUUCCUUAACCCUGUCCAAGUGGUAUACACACUGUUUUUUCUCAAUAUCAAACUCAGCCAGUCCAGGUUGUCAAAUAACAAUCUAUCUGAUAACCCCAGCGUGUGCUUUGCAUCAGAUGUUGGGUAUGUUUGCUGCAAAUCUAUUGGUUAUAAGAUAUAACAGCCUUUUCUAAUUGGCUGAAUUCAAAUACAGAAAGUUUACCUGUUAGAUUGAAACAUGAAACAUGGUGGACAAUGUACUGGUUUAACUUGUUAAAAUAAAGUUAAAGAAAUUUAACAAACAGAAGAGUUCAUGAGUUUUUCCAUUAAAAACACUUUCUUAAAAUACUUAUGUAUUUAUAUCAUUUGGAAAGUGACACGAAAUAUUGCUAAAGAGUGAUGCAUACAGUGUUUGAGCAGUCUGUCUAGGAAUAGAACAACAACUGAAGUUGAUGGAAGAUACUGCAGAGUUUGGCAGGGAAAUAAUCCAACAGCAAAGCGGCUCUUUAAGCGCAUUUACCUAGAGGACUUACAGGGCCACAAAUUCAUGAGCACAUGUGAGCAGUAUACAAUUGUACCUCAUACCAAAAAGGACCCGGAGGCAGUGACUGGUGUUCAAUAUUCUCAGAAGAAAAGGAAAAUGGCAGUGGAAGACUUGGACAAACAUUUUUAAAAACUAGCCUCUGUGUUAAGCCUUGCAGUCUGUGGCUGUUGACAUGUUUUAUUUUGGUAAAUUCUUGUAUAAAAAAGACCAGUUAUUUAUUUUGUGAAUUGUAUUUUGUGUUUGUUUUUUGUCUUAAUUUAUUUGUUUUUUUUUAAUUUAGGAAUUUGAAACUUGGAUAAUUGAAUAAAGUCCAUGUUCAACAGUACUGAGCAUAGUAUAAUAAAUAACAAAUUUACAACAGUUGUUUAUUUGUUAUGUAUUAUUAUUAACUAUGCUCAGUACUUGAAAACUGGCUGUCUGCAUGGGAAUUUGUUUUCUAGAAAGUUGGUUUCAGACUUAAAUAUUUGAAGCUAACCUUCGGAACUUUUCUAGAAUUGCACUGGAACACAUCAACUAGAACUGAACUUCUGUUAUCAUACUGAAAGUGUUCUAGAAUUAAUAAGGAACAGUUGUUGAAAGUUAAAAUUUAUGUGAAAAAACUUUAGAACAAUUGUGCGUGAUGUGUGUGUGCAUGUAAUUGUGUGUGUUUAUGAACAUACACUUCAAAACCGUUAUUUCGAAGUCGUCGGGACCGUUAAAAAAACUUCGGAUUAACUAUAAUUCGAAAUAAACAUUUGACAGAAGACUUCUUUGAUUCUGUGAAAAUAAAACGUUGUGGAAGUCGCAUGGUUCGGUUACACGCUUUCUUAAAAGCGUAAACAAGUCAUAUAGCAAUAGAUUUCCACUUGUAACAAACGGAGGAAUAAAAAGAUCCUUUUUCUUGUUUUUAUUUUUGUCUAAUUACAGAACAUAUAAAAUAUAACGAAUAGCACAAAUUAUCAGACAUACAAACAUAUGAAUACAUUUUCGGAAAUGAAUUAACUUUUUUUUAACUAAUACGCAAUGUCUCUCUGAACACCAGCUUUCGCACAGACGACAAAGGUGUAAUUAUUGGCUUUUGACGUGCCACGACAAGGUGUGAAAAUACGCUCAGUAUUUUGCAGUUUUGACUUCGGAUUAAAGAUUGAUAAUAAGGUGGGAAUUAUAGUGUUGGGACCGACUGAAUCACUUCGAAAUAACGAUUUCUUCGGUUUAACGAAGUUCGGAUUAACAAUGAAAUUUUAUAUUAAACAAAGAAGAACCAAAAUCGGGACCCGAAAAAUACUUCGAAAUAACGGUGACUUCGGAUUAUCGGUGUUCGAAAUAACGGUGUUGAAGUGUAUGUGAGAAAGGAAGUAUACUUGUAAUAAGAGAAAUGUAAAAUUCUACUUUUAUGUUUUAUAUUGUGCCUUUUAUAAGUUUUUCUUUUCUCACCUGUAUAUGCCGUCAUGUUUAUGGAUGUGUUUUUGAAUGUGUGCAUGCAUGCCUGUGGUUAAGAGAGUUGGUACUUUAUGAAAAUGUAAAACCACUCAUUUUUGAAUAUGUACUGUGACUGCAUGUGUGUGGUAAAUGAUUGAUGCCAGAUCUUGUUCUUGUUUAACUUCUAUGAUGAAACCUUUAGUUACAUUCACAUUUGUUUUUCAAAAUCGAUAAAAUGCCUUUGAUCUAUAA